rnacentral:rRNA from 1 species
AUUGAACGCUGGCGGCAUGCCUUACACAUGCAAGUCGAACGGUAACAGGUCUUCGGAUGCUGACGAGUGGCGAACGGGUGAGUAAUACAUCGGAACGUGCCUAGUAGUGGGGAUAACUACUCGAAAGAGUGGCUAAUACCGCAUGAGAUCUACGGAUGAAAGCAGGGGAUCGCAAGACCUUGUGCUACUAGAGCGGCCGAUGGCAGAUUAGGUAGUUGGUGGGAUAAAAGCUUACCAAGCCGACGAUCUGUAGCUGGUCUGAGAGGACGAUCAGCCACACUGGGACUGAGACACGGCCCAGACUCCUACGGGAGGCAGCAGUGGGGAAUUUUGGACAAGGGGCGAAAGCCUGAUCCAGCAAUGCCGCGUGCAGGAUGAAGGCCUUCGGGUUGUAAACUGCUUUUGUACGGAACGAAAAGCCCUGGGUUAAUACCCUGGGGUCAUGACGGUACCGUAAGAAUAAGCACCGGCUAACUACGUGCCAGCCGCCGCAGCAA